rnacentral:lncRNA from 1 species
AUGACGCGCCCAGUAUCAUGACACACAGCACGAGGGCAUUCCUGUUACCUUUAGCUGGUUGUACAGCGCCGCCGACGGGGUGUCCAUUCUUCACCCUCCACCUCCAAUUUAUUCUGUAGCUGCAAUUUGUUCAAUAAGAAAUGACUGAAUUUUAUCACUACCAGACACUAGUAGGCAGUAGCUGCAGUUUGUUCUAUAAUAAACUCAAAAAAAUAUUAAAUUUUAUCGCUACUAGGCACUAGCAGUAGCUGUAGUUUUUUCAAUAAGACAACACCAUUAUUAACAAAAGAAAUGAAAACUUGCUUACAACUACAAUUAUUGAGAAUGAAAAGCUUGCUUACAAUCAGAGUUGUUCACAGAAUCAUGAAAGUAGUUGGCACUUAUUUUUAUUGACUAAAGAAUGACGCAAACUCCUACUCCUAAGAACAGUUUCUCUGCUAGGCCUGAGAUCCAGCUGACGCUCAAUAGACAACACCGACGCCAUCAAUCAGGUUGGAUGGAAUUAGAGCCAACUUCCUACGACCUCAGACAAUAACUGGAUCGCGCGCCUUCCGUGGGCACAGAUCCAACUCAAUGAAAAUAAACAAUGACGAAAACUCUAGCUAUCUAGACUAGAAAGCCGACUCCGCUACACAGAUCACGACGAGCAGGAAGAAACACAAAGACGCAACCAAAAAAAAUACAUUUGCCACACGACGGACCGCCAGAGCGGCCGACCGUUCCUCGGUGAAGUAAUCCCGGCGACCCAGAUCGGAAUCGGAUCCCAGGCAACGUGCGUCAACCCCGAACCGUGCCCGUCGCGCCUUCAUCAACUCAUGGGCAUGGGCAUGGACGGCUAAUCAAACAAAUCUCUAAUUCUCUAUUGCUCACCUUGCCCAUUCCCGUCCAUGUAAAAUAUGAUUAGCGAGGAGACACACACGGGGAGGGUUUGGUCCAUACCUUGGGGUCAGGGUUGAAUCGCGGACGGGAAGGACCACCCGCGGCUGUUGUCUACUGUUAGCGAGCCCACGAUUUGGUCGGCUGGCUGGAGUUAGCGCGAGGGAAACUGACACGGGUUUACCUUGGGGGCUAACCCGUCCGUUCCAUACAUCCACUCCGGAUACGCCACCACCAUUGGGAGCCCCAACCGUGCCAGGGAGGCCGCCAAGUAAGAUGUGGUGGUUGUCUUCCCGACGUUUAGGGGGAGAAGAUGGCCGGCAAAGGUGGGGGAGAGGGAGGGUGUAGACCGGCGGUGAGGGGAGAGGGAGGUGGCUGGUGGAUUUGGAUCGGGAAGCCUUGGUGGGAGGCGGCAGCGAGGGGAGAGGAAGGUGGGUGGCGGAUCUGAAUCGGGAAGAGGCCUACGGUUCAUGUGCACGAGACAGAGGGAUGGAUGGAUGGGGAUGGAGAGAUG